GAUCCCGAACCCUUCUCCCAACUCCUCAUCUCACGCGGCCUUCUCCAUCCAACUCCUCGGCAAACCCCUCUCUGGCACUGCUUCUUAAGAUCAAGGACAGGGGGAUGGUGGUGAAGGAUUGGGUAGAGCAGGCGGAGAUCCUGCGGCACUGGGCGGUGGGAGGCUUUGUGAGCCACUGCGGCUGGAACUCAGUGACGGAGGCGGCACUGUACGAAUACCGAGUCGUCGCCACGCCGCCCCCAAAUCUUGAUCGUUCGUUUUAGGAUAGAAUCGUCGACCUUGCAGUCGCGAUCUAGGGUCUGAUCUCUCACUCAACUCGUUGCCCUGGUCGUCUCCUACCACCACCGUCGAGGAAAGGGGUUCUUCGAUUCCUAUGUCUGGCGCUGUGGAACCAUCGGAGUCGCAUCCUCCGUACUCUCCCUCCCACGAGGAGUACAACCCUGAGCUGCCGGUUGCUCUUCCGGAGGAUAGUGAUGGCACUCCGCACUUGUGAGAAUUUGAGACCUUUUGUGAAAUUUUGAGAUCUUUCUCAAGCUCCCUUCUUUGGUCUUGUUUCUUUUUCCUUGUUGUUGUCCUUUUUCUUGCCAUUAUAUUCGAGUCCCAAAUCAGUAAUAUAAAUUGAUUAAUCAAUACCAAACUUGCAUCGUGGUCUAAUUGCAUGCCAGAGAUGAUCUCUCUUCUUUUCCUUUUGCCGCUUUAUCUUUCCCUUUCUUUUUUACCGUCACUGCCUGUUGCAAAUUUCAGACAUUCCUGGCCAUGUUUGUGGCUCAAAGAUCCCAAAAGCCAGCUUGGACUCGUCAAUGGCCACCUCCACAUCUCAGAUGCCCUCCACGCCCCCUCUCUCUUUUCCUCAGAGCAAACGUUGAUCCUUGAGCUCGGCACAAUCCCCUCCUCCUCGAUCCUUUCGUUGCCUUGUUCCUAGAAUCAUCCUCUGCUUAUUGCAACCUAGGAGUUUGUAUGGAGACUAUAGAGCUAAAGGUGGACAUGGUUGCAUUACAUGAGAAGAGAUUGAGGAAAUGUUUGUCCAAAGUGAAAGGCUCCUUGACAACAAGAUGCCAAAUAAUGUGGUUACUAUGUGAUGCGAUUUAUGAGACAAAUUGUUGAAGAAGUUGAAAUUAUUGAAAGAGAUUCACUACGAUCUAUAUUCACACAAGCAGAGUAUUCUCGAGAAGAAAUUGAUGAGGUGCGAUCGGAGUUGGCAGAAUGUAUACAAGAUCAUAUUUAUGAGUAGUCACUUGGAUUAUGACUAGGCAUGGAUGACAAAUAAUCGAGUCUACUUAGCCCAAGUCCAAACUUGAAUCAUGCCAAUUCAUACAGACCGAAAAGUGAAGUGUGCCUGAUCAAAAGAAAACAUAAUUUCUUUAUCUGUGUUGCAAUCCUCUGAAGAAUAUUAAUGUCCAAACCAGAACAUUAGCAAUCGGUUUGAGUUGCAAAGCGUGAACGCACCACCAGACCACAAGGCCCCACUGUCUGCCAGAUUUGGCUCAGCUUUAAGCUUCGGCACGCGUUUGAUUCUACCUUUUCUCCUUCACGCUUGUUCUGCUUUGGUACAGUGGAGUUGGUGUGCCACACUGAUAUAUUCUAUUCUAUGGUUGUGAAUGAUGAGUGAUGAAUAUCAAAUAUAUGCAACUCUGUACGUCCAAAGCAUUUGAAGGCCCUAGCACCAGUGCACAUUAAUACUAAGUUUAUCAAGCUGGAUGCUGAAAAUGCACUAUAUUUUUCGUGACGAAAUUGGCAAUCAAAACACUGUCCUGUGUUAUUUUAUUCAGGAAUGGCAUUGCCUUUGAUAGGAUAGUCGGCUUUCAAGAUCUUGGAAGCAAAGAUGAUUUUACUGCCAGAGCUUUAGAAAAUCUUCUUAAAAGAAAAGGCAAGCACUUUCUACUUGCUUCUUCUUACACGUAUGCUGGUCGUUAUCUAACAUGAUUCUUUUUCUAGGAAUUAUUAAAUGUAUCAAGAAAACUGCAUAAAUAAAAAAAAACAAGUGUAACUUUCAAAUGCAAGGAUCGGAUUGGAUUGGAGGGAGGAUUAACAAGAAGAACAUCUAUGUGUACCUGCUAAGAGCUGCAGAAUCUGGAUGAAUACCACCACUAUAAUUGUGAUUUGAGUAAUGAAAGCCCUUUGGUAGUGGUCUCCUAUGCAAAAUGCAAAGUGUAUCUCACUAUAGGGGAGGAAGUAAACUUGGGAGAGCAUGUGCUUGCCUCUUAGUAGAUCAAAGAACAAGCUGCAUGAGAUCAGUUUAAUAAAGCAGUCAGAUAGCUACAUGCAAUUUGAAAACUAUUUUACAUCAAGGAUCUGAAAAUCUUCAUUAAGAUUAGUGUAAAUUUUGUUUCUUUUGGUAGAAUGUCAUGAUGAUUGUUUUGUUUCUUUUGAGAGCCAUCAGUAAUGCUCAUAUAUGAA